rnacentral:piRNA from 1 species
UGGUAGAACACGAAGACUAAGAAAUGCC